UCCCCCGUUCAUGCUGUGUCUCUCUCUGUCUCAAAAAUAAAUAAACUUAAAAACAAAAACACCUUCAUAACUACCUUUCUUUCUUUCCUAUUUAGGAUCCAAUCAAAACUCACAUAUGUAGUUAUUUUACUUUCUCUUAAUCUAGCUACCACCUUGCCCCUCCCCUUUUUUUAAUGAUACUAACUUUCUAAAUAGUCCAAACCACUUGUAUUACAGUAUGCCCCACAUUCUGUAUUUAUCUGGUUGCUUCCACAUGGUGUUUAACUUUUGUACACCAACUUCUUAUUGUAAAAAAAUGGAAGGUACUCCAGUAAGCUCAGUAUGCUUUGACAAAGAUGAACUUUUUUUGUAAUUAUGAAGAGAAAAGUAAAAAUGCUAUCAAUACCACAGAUGUUAUCUUUAAAAAAAAAAGAAAGCAAGAAAGAAAAAGAAGGAUCAAAUGUAAUGAGUGCUUAUUAUAUUAGUUGUAUUUCCAUAGAGGGAGCAGUGUAUUGGCCAUAACCACUUUUACAAUAUAUUAUUUAUUAUAUGGAAAUAGCAACAUGGAAUUUCUUCCUUUGAUUCAAAUGGUUCUUGGUAUUUGUUGCAUGAAGUAUGAUUUUUUUCCUGUGCAUUAAAAACACAAUUAUAUUUCAGUAUGUGAGAUAUGUUGUACAUCUGUUCUUUGAUCCUGUGCAAAGGUGUUUGUUACUCAUGUUUUAUGGUUCUAGAAAUAAAAACAUAAUCUCCUUA